rnacentral:sRNA from 1 species
ACUAAAUGAAAUAUUUAAAUAUCAUUUAUUUUUUCUUUUCAAGUAUUAUUAAGGAAUGCAACUAUUUGCCUAAAUAAUCAAAGAAAACCAAUGUUUUAGUAGAGUCUCUAGUUACAACAUGAACAAUUAGGUGACCUCAAAAAUCUGCAUAGGCCUAAAAUUCUUUUUAAAAUCAGUUCAGGUAUUUCAUAUUAAUGACAUCUAAAUAAAGAUCUUGAACUCUGUUCAUUUUAUAAAUCAUCUCCUCAGAUCAUGUGAAAACAGCCAAGAAAAUGUUACUCCAGUCAGUAAUAGGAAACAUCUGGUGUUGGCCAAAAAGUUUUCGCAAUGUUUUACCAUGCUCACAUCUGUAGUGUUAUAACUUUCAACAUCCCUGCAUGAUUUAGAAGUAAAGUCAAGAGAGAUGUUACCGCCAGCACACUCAUCUAGCAUCUGAUGCACCAUUGAGAUAAUCAUCUAGUCUCUGAUGCACCAUUGAGAUUGGGCCAGAAUUUUGAGACUGUUGACUAUAAUGAGCCAUGAACUUGGGCCUGAAUUUUGAAACUGUUGGCCAUAAUGUGUCAUGAACUGCCAAGGAAAGUAAACUUUUAUUUUUUUGUGUUCAUUAAUAAAGAAAAUUUGUUAUGUAUGGAUUCAAUGCAAAGUUUGUAAAGGUCAGUGAAUUCACUUUCCAGGGGGUUAACUAUCCUUUAAUAUCAUAAAAGGUGCCCAAGUUUUUUUUGUUUUUUUUUAAUUUUAUUAGAAAACCCAACUACCUGGUUUGAAAGCACUGACUAGUUCACUGUUUGAAAUGUAAAUUGUUUGCUACCAAUGUAAACUGAACUUUUGUUUGAACUCUAACUUGAUCAUGUCCUUGACAUUUUGCCUCUAUUUUGUGUUUCUUUUUUUGCCUUAUGAGUCUGUUAAUAAUGUUGCUUGACUUGCUCUAAUUUUCUGACUUGUUCUAUUUCUUACUUUAUUACUUUCUUGCUUCUUUAUUCAUUUUCUUACUUCUGUUAUUUCAUAUUUAAUGACAAUAGGCUAAAGCAUGUUAUAUUUCUUGCAUUAAAAAAAAUACUUUUUACUGUUUUUCUGAAAACUAUGUAGAUCUAUUGUUUUACUCCAAUACUUGCUGUUAUACUAAAUCUCAUUUAAAUUCACAAUUUGUGAUUGCUCCAUGGACAAUGUCAUUGUAUAAUUCUUUAGAUAUUAUUUCACUUCUUGUUCAACUUGUCUUUCAAAACAUGUUCUCUCCUAAAUACCUUUUUCUUUGUUCUUACUUUUCAUACAUUGACUGCAUGUAAUUCUAAAUUAGUGUCUUUUUAAAAUUGUUUCAUUAAAAUAUUCAUACUUUU